rnacentral:rRNA from 1 species
UCAGCGAGGAAGAACGCCUAUCGGUUAAUACCCGGUAGGAAAGACAUCACUCGCAGAAGAAGCACCGGCUAACUCCGUGCCAGCAGCCGCGGUAAUACGGAGGGUGCAAGCGUUAAUCGGAAUUACUGGGCGUAAAGCGCGCGUAGGUGGCUUGAUAAGCCGGUUGUGAAAGCCCCGGGCUCAACCUGGGAACGGCAUCCGGAACUGUCAGGCUAGAGUGCAGGAGAGGAAGGUAGAAUUCCCGGUGUAGCGGUGAAAUGCGUAGAGAUCGGGAGGAAUACCAGUGGCGAAGGCGGCCUUCUGGACUGACACUGACACUGAGGUGCGAAAGCGUGGGUAGCAAACAGGAUUAGAUACCCUGGUAGUCCACGCCGUAAACGAUGUCGACCAGCCGUUGGGUGCCUAGAGCACUUUGUGGCGAAGUUAACGCGAUAAGUCG